rnacentral:rRNA from 1 species
UACGUAGGGUGCAAGCGUUGUCCGGAUUUAUUGGGCGUAAAGAGCGUGUAGGCGGCUUGGUAGGUCCGCUGUGAAAACUCGAGGCUCAACCUCGAGAUGUCGGCGGAAACCACUUGGCUAGAGUCCGGAAGAGGAGAGUGGAAUUCCCGGUGUAGCGGUGAAAUGCGCAGAUAUCGGGAAGAACACCUAUGGCGAAGGCAGCUCUCUGGGACGGUACUGACGCUGAGACGCGAAAGCGUGGGGAGCGAACAGG